rnacentral:rRNA from 1 species
GGACGAACGCUGGCGGCGUGCCUAAUACAUGCAAGUCGAACGAACUCUGGUAUUGAUUGGUGCUUGCAUCAUGAUUUACAUUUGAGUGAGUGGCGAACUGGUGAGUAACACGUGGGAAACCUGCCCAGAAGCGGGGGAUAACACCUGGAAACAGAUGCUAAUACCGCAUAACAACUUGGACCGCAUGGUCCGAGCUUGAAAGAUGGCUUCGGCUAUCACUUUUGGAUGGUCCCGCGGCGUAUUAGCUAGAUGGUGGGGUAACGGCUCACCAUGGCAAUGAUACGUAGCCGACCUGAGAGGGUAAUCGGCCACAUUGGGACUGAGACACGGCCCAAACUCCUACGGGAGGCAGCAGUAGGGAAUCUUCCACAAUGGACGAAAGUCUGAUGGAGCAACGCCGCGUGAGUGAAGAAGGGUUUCGGCUCGUAAAACUCUGUUGUUAAAGAAGAACAUAUCUGAGAGUAACUGUUCAGGUAUUGACGGUAUUUAACCAGAAAGCCACGGCUAACUACGUGCCAGCAGCCGCGGUAAUACGUAGGUGGCAAGCGUUGUCCGGAUUUAUUGCGCGUAAAGCGAGCGCAGGCGGUUUUUUAAGUCUGAUGUGAAAGCCUUCGGCUCAACCGAAGAAGUGCAUCGGAAACUGGGAACUUGAGUGCAGAGAGGACAGUGGAACUCCAUGUGUAGCGGUGAAAUGCGUAGAUAUAUGGAAGACACCAGUGCGAAGGCGGCUGUCUGGUCUGUAACUGACGCUGAGGCUCGAAAGUAUGGGUAGCAAACAGGAUUAGAUACCCUGGUAGUCCAUACCGUAAACGAUGAAUGCUAAGUGUUGGAGGGUUUCCGCCCUUCAGUGCUGCAGCUAACGCAUUAAGCAUUCCGCCUGGGGAGUACGGCCGCAAGGCUGAAACUCAAAGGAAUUGACGGGGGCCCGCACAAGCGGUGGAGCAUGUGGUUUAAUUCGAAGCUACGCGAAGAACCUUACCAGGUCUUGACAUACUAUGCAAAUCUAAGAGAUUAGACGUUCCCUUCGGGGACAUGGAUACAGGUGGUGCAUGGUUGUCGUCAGCUCGUGUCGUGAGAUGUUGGGUUAAGUCCCGCAACGAGCGCAACCCUUAUUAUCAGUUGCCAGCAUUAAGUUGGGCACUCUGGUGAGACUGCCGGUGACAAACCGGAGGAAGGUGGGGAUGACGUCAAAUCAUCAUGCCCCUUAUGACCUGGGCUACACACGUGCUACAAUGGAUGGUACAACGAGUUGCGAACUCGCGAGAGUAAGCUAAUCUCUUAAAGCCAUUCUCAGUUCGGAUUGUAGGCUGCAACUCGCCUACAUGAAGUCGGAAUCGCUAGUAAUCGCGGAUCAGCAUGCCGCGGUGAAUACGUUCCCGGGCCUUG